rnacentral:rRNA from 1 species
UACGUAGGGGGCGAGCGUUGUCCGGAUUUAUUGGGCGUAAAAGGCUUGUAGGUGGCCACGCCAAGUCGGAUGUGAAAUCUCCCGGCUCAACUGGGAGGGGUCAUUCGAUACUGGCGGGCUCGAGGUCGGUAGGGGGAAGCGGAAUUCCGGGUGUAGUGGUGGAAUGCGUAGAUAUCCGGAAGAACACCGGUGGCGAAGGCGGUCUGCUGGGCAGUUGCUGGACACUGAGGCGCGACAGCGUGGGGAGCAAACAGGG